CCCUGCGUGCCCGUGGGGAUGGCGCCGUCCUGGCACCGUGUCCCCGUCAGAGCCGAGGCCCCUCCUGCCACCGACCCUGGGCAAGGCCCUGGCAAUCUCAGGCUUUCGCUAAAAGAAGUAAUAACCCGGGUGUAGACGUGACCGACGGUGACGUAUUGGAGGCCUUGUCAAGACGCUCAGGGAGGCCCUGACAGCACGGCCUCCGGGCCCAGGGGCACCACCUUGGCGUUGCUGCCUCGGGUUUGCCUAGCUCGCUGUUUGCUGAAGCUCUGUUUGUGACCUAGCAAAUUCCUGCAUAUUUCA